AAGUCUUGAAGGGCUCAAAACUGGGCAGGUUUUCUCGAGCCUGAAACAGAAAGGAAAGGUGUGAGGGUGUACUCCUUCCUCCGGGCCAGGGUUUGGAGACGCCUGUGGACAGGAGCAUUCGUGGCUUCGCAGCCAGUGGCAGCAGUCCAACAGGACUGAGGACAGAAGCAGCCAACUCCUUCAGGACUCCUUCAGGUAAUCUCACUUUGACUCCUCCACUCCCCUGGUGCUGCUGUAGCAGUUGAUUGCGCCCAACGAGCCUCCCUAACACCUUAGAGGAGCUGCACAGACACCCAGAUUCUGUCUCCCAGCUGCCAGGCCUGGAGUGACAAGUCCCACGUUAUCCCACACUUGACUCUGUCUGUGCCAGGAGGCUAAGCUCCAGGAAACCAUUUCUGAGAUGGUCCCCCUUCAGCUGUUCCUAGCUUGGAACAAUUCACAGACCCUGGGACCCAAGGCCUGCAUUGCCUGGCCCCCCACAGAGCUCGGUCAGAGAGAGCCACUGGACUGGGCCUGAGACCGGAGCUGUCAGGCUGUGUUCAGUGACCAAGAGAAGGGACAGACAGAGCAGGCAAAGGACUGUCAGCCGCAGGUGAGCAUCACUGCAGCAGGGUGAUGCCCCAGUGCCCCCAGCCUCUGUACGGCAGGGGCCAGGCCGGCUGCUGCCUCAAGCUUCUCUGAAGAACUCAGCACCACCUUCAGGCAAGUGUGUGGCACUAGCCCUCACCGCCUUGCAUUUGCCCGGCUCCUGCCCGUGAUCCAGAGCUAGUCACCUGGAUGUGGCAAUAAGUCAGACCCUUGAGAAGGAGGGGCCCUAGUCUUGUUGAUGCCCUGGGACCCAGGUUAGGCUCACCCACCCCCACAGGGCAGCUUUGGCCUUUUACAGGAAGCUGAUAGCAGGGGGCAUAGGCAGGGGUUUCUCCUGCAGUAAGCAAGUCAUCCUGACCUCUCUGUAUUCUGUCGCCUCCUUCUUGGGCCCUGAGUAGGACACAAGGUGUACAGGUCUGGUUAAUUUUGGCUGAUCCUUUGAAGUGAAAAAGAAUAUGCACAGGAGGAAGGGACAUGAGCUGACAGUUUCCUGGGCUUUUCCAUAACUGUGCUGUGUAAAUGUAACUGUCACAUGGGAAAAGAAUGCGUCCACACUGCCAUAGAUAUUCCCAGUAUGAACAGAAGGUCAGAGUGUGGCUAUUUCAGUCCCUGUAAACAAGGAAGGGGUUUAGCUAGGAACAGAGUUCAAACCCUGGAAUGUAUGAACAAGGACAUUUUAAGUAGAAGGCAGAGACAUCCGGGAACACCAUGGAGGGUUAGAGGCUGUUUAGAGAGCAGACUCAAGUCAGAAUCCCUGAGAGAGUGGGGUGGGGGGUCACUACAGCAUGCCUGUGACAGGAUGGACAAGGGAGAAAGAUAGUGCUCCAAACUGAUGUUUUCGAUCAAGGACAAGUGAAAUGAAGAUCCCAAGAGGAAGUCUGAGAACUCAGGGAUGGCUGGGUGGGGGGUUCCAGGUGCUUGGAGGGUGCCCCAUUUUGCUACCUGUUCACUAUGACUUCUUUCCCAAGAAUUUCUGUUUCCCUCUGUUCACUCUCAAUAAACAUGGUUUCAUUUUA